AUAUAGGGUCCCGUCGUACGCAUGCUGCCCGGCUCGCCAUCGGACCGCGGGAAUUAUGGACUGCGAGUGACCUCCAUACGACUCGGCUGGCUGGACUAAGAGCUGAGCGCUUGACAGACCGACUAUCAACUGACCCAGGUUACCUUAAGUACGACUCAGAGCGUGAACCUGUAGAGUCUACCUUGUUACGACUUGGCUGACUGAGGUUACCUUGGUACGACUUCCCCGCGGCGGCUGAUACUGAGGCGGUCAAAUCACUAGGGCGGCCUACUGCAAGUCUA
rnacentral:rRNA from 1 species